GGACCCGUAGCUCAGCGGUAGAGCAUCUGAUUCCAGUGGAAGCAGCAUCCAGAAGGUCAUCCGUUCAAAUCGGGUCGGGUUCA